GUGGUGGCUCAGUGGCAGAGCGCUUGCCUCAUACAUGUGAGGUGCUGGGUUCGAUCCUCAGCACCACA
rnacentral:tRNA from 1 species